rnacentral:rRNA from 1 species
GAUGAACGCUGACCGAAUGCUUAACACAUGCAAGUCCACUUGAACUUCGGUUUGGGUGGCGGACGGGUGAGUAACGCGUAAAAAACUUGCCUCACAGCUAGGGACAACAUUUGGAAACGAAUGCUAAUACCUGAUAUUAUGAUUUUAGGGCAUCCUAGAAUUAUGAAAGCUAUAUGCGCUGUGAGAGAGCUUUGCGUCCCAUUAGCUAGUUGGAGAGGUAACGGCUCACCAAGGCGAUGAUGGGUAGCCGGCCUGAGAGGGUGAACGGCCACAAGGGGACUGAGACACGGCCCUUACUCCUACGGGAGGCAGCAGUGGGGAAUAUUGGACAAUGGACCAAGAGUCUGAUCCAGCAAUUCUGUGUGCACGAUGAAGUUUUUCGGAAUGUAAAGUGCUUUCAGUUGGGAAGAAAAAAAUGACGGUACCAACAGAAGAAGUGACGGCUAAAUACGUG